UACGUAGGGGGCUAGCGUUGUCCGGAAUCAUUGGGCGUAAAGAGCGUGUAGGCGGUCCGGUAAGUCCGCUGUGAAAGUCGGGGGCUCAACCCUCGAAUGCCGGUGGAUACUGUCGGGCUAGAGUGCGGAAGAGGCGAGUGGAAUUCCUGGUGUAGCGGUGAAAUGCGCAGAUAUCGGGAAGAACACCCGUGGCGAAGGCGGCUCUCUGGGACGGUACUGACGCUGAGA
rnacentral:rRNA from 1 species